GCCCAUAAGACUGGGAUAACUCCGGGAAACCGGGGCUAAUACCGGAUAACAUUUUGAACCGCAUGGUUCGAAAUUGAAAGGCGGCUUCGGCUGUCACUUAUGGAUGGACCCGCGUCGCAUUAGCUAGUUGGUGAGGUAACGGCUCACCAAGGCAACGAUGCGUAGCCGACCUGAGAGGGUGAUCGGCCACACUGGGACUGAGACACGGCCCAGACUCCUACGGGAGGCAGCAGUAGGGAAUCUUCCGCAAUGGACGAAAGUCUGACGGAGCAACGCCGCGUGAGUGAUGAAGGCUUUCGGGUCGUAAAACUCUGUUGUUAGGGAAGAACAAGUGCUAGUUGAAUAAGCUGGCACCUUGACGGUACCUAACCAGAAAGCCACGGCUAACUACGUGCCAGCAGCCGCGGUAAUACGUAGGUGGCAAGCGUUAUCCGGAAUUAUUGGGCGUAAAGCGCGCGCAGGUGGUUUCUUAAGUCUGAUGUGAAAGCCCACGGCUCAACCGUGGAGGGUCAUUGGAAACUGGGAGACUUGAGUGCAGAAGAGGAAAGUGGAAUUCCAUGUGUAGCGGUGAAAUGCGUAGAGAUAUGGAGGAACACCAGUGGCGAAGGCGACUUUCUGGUC
rnacentral:rRNA from 1 species